AAUAUAUAUAAGUAAAUCCAAAUAAAUAAAUAAAAGUCUACAUAUGAAGAAUAAAGAAUAACAGCAAUGAUAGAAAUUAUAAGAUGUAUAUUUUUAAUAGUUAUAAUAUUACAUUUUAAGUAAUCAUAAUCAUAAUAAUAAUAAUUAUUGUUUAAACAGUUGAAUGUCAUCAGCCAGGGUUAAGGCUAACGUUAGUCUGUAAUUUGACUAGGAUAAAUUUGUCCAAUAAUCGAUCAUAUCAGUUGUGUUCCCGUGUCUUUACUGCUCUGAAAUCAACUAAAUGUUUUUAACCAUCAGUAUUUGAUUUUAAAGUUUAAACUUUUAAACAAAAGAGAAAAAUAAUGAUAUUUUUAACCAUUCUUCUUUGGAUUUUAUUAAAUUUGAGUUUUAUUUAUAACUGUUAUCGAGUGUCUUUUCUCAGAAAUAUCAUUAAAAUCAUCGGAGCUGGUACUUUUUAAAACUUAAAUGUGCAGUAGUUAAUCACAAGUUUCUCAGGCAGAAAACAAGUUAAAUCAAAACUGACCACCAGGGGGCGCCUUUUCUGUAUUAUGCCUGUUUGGCCCUGAACUCCAGAUCCUGAAGUCUUCUACUCCUCAUGUUUGAUCCUCAGGUGUCUGCAGGAGGACUGGAGAAUUAUGGGACCGACAGAGGACGCCGUGGGUGAGUUGUAUUGUUGGCUCAGGGUCCCCAGGGUCUUCAGGUCCUGAUAGCGUUUGUUGAUGUUUUUUCAGCAGCUGUAGUGUUUGUUUUUUGUGUUUUUAUACUGCAGAUGUAUCAGGACAGAGUUUGUAGUUCCAGCUCAGAUUGUAACUUCUGUUUUUGACCUCGUGGACUUUUUUAAAUCCGGCUCAGGUGUGUAAAGAUCGAUCAGCUCUCAGUGCUGAGGGUGUGAUUCAGUGUUCAGCAGGUUAGUUUGAAGCUUUAAUAUAAAGUUUAAAAGUUUUUACUGGGAAGUUAAAGUCUGUCAGCGCUGAGUGUUUCCUGAGAUAUCAGAGGAGCUUUAAGGUCCAUAAUCUCAGCGUUUAUGUCAUGUUUAAUGAUGGACGAUAUGAGCUAAAAAAAUUAUUAUCAUGAUGAGAUUUUCUAUUCUGGUGAUAACGAUAGAAAUCCUGAUAAAAAAUAUCAUAAUUCUUGUCUGUAUUUUUGACUCAUUUGUCUUGAGAACAUCAGUUGGAGUUUUUAAAUCAGACACUGAACCACAAGUUUGAGUUUUAGGUUACGGAGGAAACUAAAGACUAAAGUCUGAAGACCCUGAAGAGCCGAGCCGACAACACAACCACCAGAGGAGGGGGGUCCUAUGAGUUUAUUCAUAAAAAACACACAAACACACUGUCACUCUGUGGCUCUUUAUUUUAAUCAGGACUCCUCCCCCUGACCCCUGAACCCCCACCCUCCUGUGUCUCCCUCAGGUCAAAGUUCAUCUGCUUUAUGUUGUUUAGUUUUGUUCCUGGUUAAAAUGACAGUUAAGUUUAGAGUCUGAAUUUAUUAUUUAACUUUUUCCCACUGAGUGUUUAAAGACUUAAGUCACGAUUAAAAGUUCAGAUUAGAGACACUUUAAAUAUUUACUUAAAGGCCUUUAGGAAUCAUUAGUCAGCAGUUAAUUUAGAUUAGUUCAGAUCGAACCAUUUUCUUUUUGAAAUUAUCUUUAAUCUUUCUCUAAAUCUUUACUUUGAAUGGAGAUGUUAAUGCACUGUAGUGUUGUGUAGCAUUUCCAUUCAAGGCAAAGAUUUAAAGUCUAAAUAUAAUUUCAAUUAGAAAAUGAUUUAAUCUGAACUUUGAGUCCUGAAAGAAAAGAAGAGAGACACUUAGUUCAUCAUAUUUAACCGACAAAAGACAAAAAUCUGUGCUGAGGACAUCAAACCGGACCGUGGUGAGAGAUCAGAGAAGCUGCUUUACUGAUCAGAGAAAUUUACUGUGACGUCUUUUAAAACGGUAAAAACAAAAACAAGUGAAAAGUUUUCUGUUUGCAUUUAUUUUUGCAUGACUGUCAGAGAAGCUGAUUUAAGUUUCAAGUAUCUUUAAAUUAAUUAAUAAUUGAACCUUCAGCUGUUUUGUGUUAUUAUUCUCGUGUUUAUUACAUCAAAAAAAACGUGGGACUGUUUACUCCAGAGUUUACUCCUUUAUCUAUAGCAGGGAAGUUUUGUGUAGAAACGGCGCCCUCUGGUGGACAGUUAUAUUUGAGGUUUUUUUAGAAAACACCAAAGUUCACGUGAGAAUCAAAGAUUUAAAGAUGAACAAUUCUUGAUAUUCUCUGUGUAAUGUUAUUGAUUUUUUUCCUUUAAAACUUGUUUCAUUUUGUUCAAAUUUAUCUGGUUUCAAAACGACAUUAUAUGAAAAUCCAUUUGUUUUAGCGACACUGUAACUUUAAAUUCAUGACAAAAAAUUAUAUUCCAGGCCGGAAAAAAAACGUCAUAGUAUACUAUGACCAAAAUUUCAGAUUUUAGGGUGAGAAGAAAAUUUCAGAUUUCAGGAUGAAAAAACAUGCUAUUGUGUAGUCUGAUCAAAAUGCCAUUGUAUAUGAUGUUAAAAAUGUCAUAUUUUAGCCCAAAAAAAACCCCAUCAUAUUUGGGUCUGAAAAAAAAAUGUCAUAGUAUACUAUGACCAAAAUUUCAGAUUUUACGGUAAAAAAAAAAAAUCUGAUUUUUGGAUGAAAAAACAUGCAAUGGUGGUGUCUGAACAAAAUGCCAUUGUAUAGGAUGUUAAAAAUGUCAUAUUUUAGUAGGAAUAAAAAAAAUCUUAUUUGAGUCCGAAAAAAAAAAACAUCAUAGUAUACUAUGACCAAAAUUUUAUAUCUUAAUGUGAAAAUUUUUAUUCAGAUUUUUGGAUAAAAAAACAUGCGAUAGUAUUGUCUGAACAAAAUGCCACUGUAUAGGAUGUUUAAAAUGUCAUAUUUUAGUUCCAAAAAAAAAAAAUUAUAUUUGGGUCAGAAAAAAAAACGUCAUAGUAUACUAUGACCAAAAUUUCAGAUUUUAGGGUGAAAUUUUAUUUUCAGAUUUUAGGGUGUAAAAGCCUGCCAUGAUAUUGUCCAAACAAAAUGCCAUAGUAUAGGAUGUUAAAAAUGUCAUAUUUUAGCAGGAAGAAAAAAAAUCUUAUUUGAGUCCGUAAAAAAAAUCAUCAUAGUAUACUGUGACCAAAAUUUCAGAUUUUAGGGUGAAUUUUUUUUUUUCAGAUGCUAAUGAAAAAACAUGUCAAAGUAGUGUCUGAACAAAAUGCCAUUGUAAAGAAUGUUAAAAAUGUCAUAUUUUAGUAGAAAUUAAAAAAAAUUAUAUUUCAGUCGGAAAAAAAAACGUCAUAGUAUACUAUGACCAAAAUUUCAGAUUUUAGGGUGAAAUUUUUUUUUCAGAUAUCAGGAUGAAAAAACAUGCCAUAGUAUUGUCUGACCAAAAUGCCAUAGUUUAGAAUGUUAAAAGUGUAAUAUUUUAGUAGGAAUAAAAAAAAUAAUGUUUGAGUCUGAAAAAAAUCGUCAUAGUAUACUAUGACCAAAAAUUUCAGAUUUUAGGUGAAAUUUUUUUUUCAGAUUUUAGGAUGUAAAAGCCUGCCAUUCUAUUGUCCAAACAAAAUGCCAUAGUUUAGGAUGUUAAAAAUGUCAUAUUUUAGCAAGAAGAAAAAAAAUCUUAUUUGAGUCCGUAAAAAAAAAUCGUCAUCGUAUAUACUAUGACCAAAAUUUCAGAUUUUAGGGUGAAAAUUUUUUUUCAGAUUUUAGAAUGAAAAAACAUGCUAUAGUGUAAUCUGCUCAAAAUGCCGUAGUUUAUGAUGUUGAAAAUGUCAUAUUUUAGUAGGAAUAAAAAAAAUAAUGUUUGAGUCUGAAAAAAAUCGUCAUAGUACACUAUGACCAAAAUUUCAGAUUUUAGGUGAAAUUUUUUUUUUAUUUUUGGAUUAAAAAACAUGCCAUAGUAUUCUCUGAACAAAAUGCCAUAGUUUAGGAUGUUAAAAAUGUCAUAUUUUAGUAGGAAAAAAAGAUUAUUUGAGUCCGAAAAAAUGUCAUAAUGUCCUAGGAUCAAAAUUUCAGAUCUUAUGGUGAAAAAGAAUUCCUGAUUUUAGGAUGAAAAAACAUGCCAUAGUAUUGUCCGAUCAAAAUGCCAUAAUAUAGGAUGUUGAAAAUGUCAUAUUUUAUGUUAGGGCUGUGGGUGUGGGUGUGUCCUGUGUCCUGUGUCUUCUGCUGUGUGUCUCUCUCUGGUAGGUUCCUCCCCAGGUGUCUCAGGUGAACCUGCUUGGUGUGAUGAGUGGGAGCGGAUAUAAGAAGACACAGAUGCGCUGAUUCUCUCUCUCAGCCCCCGUGAUCGACACUCGUGCUGCAGACCUCCCGAUUUGUUGACUGUGUGUCAAUCUUUUGCAUUUUGGUGUUCUUGAAUCCAGGUUUUCCGGUGGCAGGAGCCUGUGGUGUUUCCUCUGUUUGUUUAAAUAGUUGGCAGUGAAUUUUGCUUUUUGAAUAAUGUAUUGAUAAUCAGCCUCAUGCUCGCCUUUAGUUGUUUGAUCUUCUUGUUGUAACUUUUGAUUGUAAAUAAAUUACUCGUUUAUUCUGAUUUCCUGUUUCCUACACUUCAUUUAGUCUCCCCUGCCUGGUUCAAUUUAUUGUUACUUCCCAUCUCCCCCUAUCCAUUCUCCUGGGUCGUAACAUUUAAGCUCAAAUAAAAAAAAAAUCAUAUUUUAGUCCAAAAAUAAACGUCAUAGUAUACUAUGACCAAAAUUUCAGAUUUUAGGGUGAAAUUUUAUUUUCAGAUUUUAGGAUGUAAAAGCCUGCCAUGAUAUUGUCCAAACAAAGUGCCAUAGUAUAGGAUGUUAAAAUAAAAUGUCAUAUUUUAGCAGGAAGAAACAAAUUAUAUUUAAGUCUGAAAAAAAAAAGUCAUAGUAUACUAUGACCAAGAUUUCAGAUUUUAGGUUGAAAAAAAUUUUUCAGAUUUCAGGAUGAAAAAACAUGCCAUAGUAUUGUCUGAUCAAAAUGCCAUAGUAUAGGAUGUUAAAAAUGUCAUAUGUUAGUAGGAAUAAAAAAAAUCUUAUUUGAGUCCGUUAAAAAAGAAACGUCAUAGUAUACUAUGACCAAAAUUUCAGAUUUUAGGUGAAAUUUUUUUUUCAGAUUUUUGGAUAAAAAAACAUGCGAUAGUAUUGUCUGAACAAAAUGCCAUAGUUUAGGAUGUUGAAAAUGUCAUAUUUUAGUAGGGAUAAAAAAAAUCAUGUUUGAGUCCCAAAAAAAAAUCGUCAUAGUAUACUAUGACCAAAAUUUCAGAUUAUGGGGUGAAUUUUUUUUUUCAGAUUUUUGGAUGAAAAAACACGCAAUGGUGGUGUCUGAACAAAAUGCCAUGGUUUAUGAUGUUGAAAAUGUCAUAUUUUAGUAGGAACAAAAAAAAAAUCAUGUUUGAGUCUGAAAAAAAUCGUCAUAGUUUACUAUGACCAAAAUUUCAGAUUUUGGGGUGAAAAGAAAAUUUCUGAUUUCAGGAUGAAAAAACAUGCUAUUGUGUAGUCUGAUCAAAAUGCCAUAGUUUAUGAUGUUAAAAAUGUCAUAUUUUAGCCCAAAAAUGCCCCCAUCAUAUUUGGGUCUGAAAAAAAAAAACGUCAUAGUAUACUAUGACCAAAAUUUUAGAUUUUAGGGUGAAAAUUUUUUUUCAGAUUUCAGGAUGAAAAAACAUGCAAUGGUGGUGUCUGAACAAAAUGCCAUUGUAUAGAAUAAUAAAAUAUCAUAUUUUAGUAGGAAUAAAAAAAAUCUUAUUCGGGUCUGAAAAAAAAAAAAGUCAUAGUAUACUAUGACCAAAAUUUCAGAUUUUAGGUGAAAUUUUUUUUUCAGAUUUUAAGAUAAAAAAACUUGCGAUAGUAUUGUCUAACCAAAAUGCCAUGGUUUAGGAUGUUAAAAAUGUCAUAAUUUAGUGAAAAAAAACCCCCAUCAUGUUUGAGUCUGAAAAAAAUACAUCAUAGUAUACUAUGACCAAAAUUUCAGAUUUUAGGUGAAAAUUUUUUUUCAGAUUUUAGGGUAAAAAAAAACAUGCGAUAGUAUUGUCUGAACAAAAUGCCAUAGUUUAGGAUGUUAAAAAUGUCAUAUUUUAGCAGGAAGAAACAAAUUAUAUUUAAGGCUGAAAAAAAAAAAUUAUAGUAUACUAUGACCAAAAUUUCAGAUUUUAGGGUGGAAAAAAAAAACAGAUUUGAGGAUGAAAAAAUAUGCCAUAGUAUUGUCUGAUCAAAAUACCAUAGUAUAGGAUGUUAAAAAUGUCAUAUAUUACUAGGAACAAAAAAAAAAAUCAUAUUUGAGUCUGAAAAAAAAAAAACGUCAUAGUAUACUAUGACCAAAAUUUCAGAUUUAGGGUGAAAUUUUUUUUUCAGAUUUCAGGAUGAAAAAACAUGCUAUAGUGUAGUCUGAUCAAAAUGCCAUAGUUUAGAAUGUUAAAAAUGUCAUAAUUUAGCGCAAAAAAAAACCCAUCAUGUUUGAGUCUGAAAAAAAAACGUCAUAGUAUACUAUGACCAAAAUUUCAGAUUUUAGGUGAAAUUUUUUUUUCAGAUUUUAGGGUAAAAAUACAUGCGAUAGUGGUGUCUGAACAAAAUGCCAUUGUAUAGAAUAAUAAAAUAUCAUAUUUUAGUAGGAAUAAAAAAAAUCUUAUUCGGGUCUGAAAAAAAAAAACGUCAUAGUAUACUAUGACCAAAAUUUCAAAUUUCAGGGUGAAAUUUUUUUUUCAGAUUUUCUGAUGAAAAAAGAAAUGGAAUGGUGGUGUCUGAACAAAAUGCCAUAGUAUAGAAUGUUAAAAAUGUCAUAUUUUAGUAGGAAUUAAAAAAAAUAAUAUUUCAGUCCGAAAAAAAAUGUCAUAGUAUACUAUGACCAAAAUUUCAGAUUUUAGGGUGAAUUUCUUUUUUUCACAUUUUGGGAUGAAAAAACAUGCCAUAGUAUUGUCUGAACAAAAUGCCAUAGUUUAGGAUGUUAAAAAUGUCAUAUUUUAGCAGGAAGAAACAAAUUAU
rnacentral:lncRNA from 1 species